rnacentral:sRNA from 1 species
GUUGAUAUGGCCAGUUUCUUUAAGUGGGACAGUGCGAAGUGAAUUAGAACCCAAACAGAUUAUUACUGGACAGUCCAGUCAAGUCAGUGAAGAUGUCUAUUCUCAAAGACAGGUUUCUCGCAGGCAUCACCGAUUUUCACUUCAGAAUCCAAAAUAUUUUGUUCCUCUUGUCGUCUGCAUUAUUGUUGCACUAUUUGCCCUUGGCGGAUUAGCAGCUGUUAUUUAAUAGUACUGAAACAUUUCUGAAAAGACUCCAGUCUGGUAGUUCACAAGUAUAAAUACAUUAUCUAUUCCAAGUACCAAGUGAAUUUAUGCUUGAAUUCUCUUUGACUAAUUGUUUUUCUAGUCAGAAACUCAGGAUGUCUGAAAAGUUUUGGAAUCAUUUCCUCUUCGUCAUUGCUCCAAUGUACAUCAUGCGUUAUCAAGGUGCAGCCAGAAAUAGUCACAUUAUAUAGCCCUUUGUUCAAAUCUUUAUAAAUUUGAGAUACAAAAUAGCAGCAAUAUGAAUGUGGAGUCGAAAGCAAGAAGUGAAACAUAAAUAAACUAGUUUCUCAAAGUUAAAGAAAAUUAGUUGAAAUAUCUGUUAUGCAAUAAUAAUA